AACGAACGCUGGCGGCAGGCUUAACACAUGCAAGUCGAACGCCCCGCAAGGGGAGUGGCAGACGGGUGAGUAACGCGUGGGAAUCUACCCAAUUCUACGGAACAACAGAGGGAACUUCUGCUAAUACCGUAUACGCCCUACGGGGGAAAGAUUUAUCGGAAUUAGAUGAGCCCGCGUAAGAUUAGCUAGUUGGUGGGGUA
rnacentral:rRNA from 1 species